rnacentral:rRNA from 1 species
AAUGAACGCUGGCGGCGCGCCUAAUACAUGCAAGUCGAGCGAGAAGACGUAGCAAUACGUUUGUAAAGCGGCGAACGGGUGAGGAAUACAUGGGUAACCUACCCUCGAGUGGGGAAUAACUAGCCGAAAGGUUAGCUAAUACCGCGUACGCUCCUUGGACUUCGGUUCAGGGAGGAAAGCGAUACCGUGGGUAUCGCGCUCUUGGUCGGGCUCAUGUCCUAUCAGCUUGUUGGUGAGGUAACGGCUCACCAAGGCUUCGACGGGUAGCUGGUCUGAGAGGACGAUCAGCCACACUGGCACUGCGACACGGGCCAGACUCCUACGGGAGGCAGCAGUAAGGAAUAUUGCGCAAUGGGCGAAAGCCUGACGCAGCGACGCCGCGUGGGGGAGUGAA